GACGAACGCUGGCGGCGUGCCUAAUACAUGCAAGUAGGACGCAGUUGCGAACGGGUGAUUAACGCGUAGGUAACUACCUAUUAGAGGGGGAUAACUAUUGGAAACGAUAGCUAAUACCGCAUACUAGUAGAUGGACCUUCGUUGUAUUAGCUAGUAGGUAGGGUAAUGGCCUACCUAGGCAACGAUACAUAGCCGGCCUUGGGGGGGGGUCGGCCAAAAGGGGACGGAGAACAGGGCCAGACUCCUUCGGGAGGCAGCAGUAGGGAAUCUUCGGCAAUGGGGGGAAACCUGACCGAGCAAAGGCGCGGGGGUGAAGAAGGUUUUCGGAUCGGAAAGGUAUGUUGUGAAGGGAGCGGUACUUAACCAGGAAGCGACGGCUAACUACGUGCCAGCAGCCGCGGUAAUAC
rnacentral:rRNA from 1 species